rnacentral:rRNA from 1 species
CCCUUAGAUGUUCUGGGCUGCACGCGCGCUACACUGACGGAGGCAGCGAGCAUGUCCUUCGCCGAGAGGUGUGGGGAAUCUUGUGAGUCUCCGUCGUGCUGGGGAUAGAUGGUUGCAAUUGUCGAUCUUGAACGAGGAAUUCCUAGUAAGCGCGAGUCAUCAGCUCGCGCUGAUUACGUCCCUGCCCUUUGUACACACCGCCCGUCGCUACUACCGAUUGGAUGGUUUAGCGAGAGCCUUGGAUUGGAGCCCGGGUGGUCAGCAAUGGCCGCCCGGGAGUCCCUGAGAAAUUGCUCCAGCUUGAUCAUCUAGAGGAAGUAAAAGUCGUANCA